AUAUUAAUAAGCGGAGGAAAAGAAACUAACAAGGAUUCCCGUAGUAACUGCGAGUGAAGUGGGAAGAGCUCAAGCUUAAAAUCUGAGGCGGUCUACGUCUCCGAAUUGUAGUUUUGUGAACAGCUUUACGGACAGACUGCUGCAGUAUAAGUCUCCUGGAAAGGAGUGCCAAAGAAGGUGAUAGCCCUGUGCAUGACUGCAGAGUCCCGGUUUGUCAACACGUACUGCGAGUUCGUCGAGUCGGGUUGUUUGGGAGUACAGCCCAAAGUGGGAGGUAAAUUCCUUCUAAAGCUAAAUAAUGGCGAGAGACCGAUAGCGAACAAGUACCGUGAGGGAAAGAUGCAAAGAACUUUGAAAAGAGAGUUAAAAGUGCUUGAAAUUGUUAAAAGGGAAGCGAUUGGAAGCAGUACGUACUUGCUAUCAACUCAUUUAUCGGUGGGAGAUUGGUAUGGUGUUGUGAGUAGUCCAUCGUGGCUAUCGCAGCAUUGUGUCCUGGUUUUUUAUCGGUGGAGCAUUUUGGUAGUAGGUGAGUCAACAUCAGUGAGGAGAGUGGGAGAAUGGUUCGAAGGAGGUGAUAUGCUGGUAGCUCUCGGGUUAUUAGUGUGUGUUAAACUUUGGAUAGAUACCACUUUCUUCAC
rnacentral:rRNA from 1 species